rnacentral:rRNA from 1 species
UUACAGCCAUAUCACGUUGAAACACCAGUUCUUGUACGACCACUGAAGUUAAGCAACGUCGAUCCUGGUCAGUACCUAGAUGGGUGACCGCUUGGAAAUAGCAGGAGCUGUAA